rnacentral:rRNA from 1 species
UACGGAGGGGGCUAGCGUUGUUCGGAAUUACUGGGCGUAAAGCGCACGUAGGCGGCUUUGCAAGUUAGAGGUGAAAGCCCGGGGCUCAACUCCGGAAUUGCCUUUAAAACUGCAUCGCUAGAAUUGUGGAGAGGUAAGUGGAAUUCCGAGUGUAGAGGUGAAAUUCGUAGAUAUUCGGAAGAACACCAGUGGCGAAGGCGACUUACUGGACACAUAUUGACGCUGAGGUGCGAAAGCGUGGGGAGCAAACAGGGAUUAAGAAACC